UUUUAAUCAUUUACAUCUUAUACAAAUCUUUAGUUGAUUAAGGCAUGGGUUCAGCUCAAAUCAUCAGGCACCUAAGUUCAAAAGUAAUCACAGUUGGCCAGAUAAGCAAGAGAUUGAUGGGAGGCUCUCCACUACUAAUGGCAACGGUCCUAAUUAAAUAACCAUCAAUCAAAUUAUUUGCCUUAGACACCAACUAAUGUUGAUCAAUUUCUAAUUGGGUUAACCUAAGUGAUCGAAACUCGAGC
rnacentral:lncRNA from 1 species